UACGGAGGGGGCUAGCGUUAUCCGGAUUCACUGGGUUUAAAGGGUGCGUAGGUGGAAUGGUAAGUCAGUGGUGAAAUCUCCAAGCUUAACUUGGAAACUGCCGUUGAUACUAUCAUUCUUGAAUAUCGUGGAGGUGAGCGGAAUAUGUCAUGUAGCGGUGAAAUGCUUAGAUAUGACAUAGAACACCGAUUGCGAAGGCAGCUCACUACGCGAUUAUUGACACUGAGGCACGAAAGCGUGGGGAUCAAACAGG
rnacentral:rRNA from 1 species